UACCGAGGGAGAUGACUCUAUUGUUCUGUGAGUAUGAGUAUGAUAUUCAUUGGCACACUUUCAAACACAUGAGAGAUGUG
rfam:Picea glauca, whole genome shotgun sequence.